AGCAUAAUACAAGAUAAAUUCACAUUCUUUUUAAAUAGGACUACUAAACAAGUUAAAGGACAUCCAUUGGUUAAGAAAACCAUGAAGAUACAGACAUCUCUCAUGUGCAUAUUCAUCAUCUCCCUAUUUACUUUGCAUCAGUGUGCAAGGAUCUAUAUUAGAGAAAUGGAUAAAUCUAACAUAAUCAUAGACUCAAAUUGCUAUCAUACAAAUUGGUUUAACAAAAGGGGUUGGUGUUGUACAGCCUUAAAAGGUGAUCCAUGUUGGGGUGACAAAGCCUCCUGUGAUUCAACAUGUCCUCGUCCUCUUUCUUCUUCUCCUUAAAACAAUAUAUAAUAAAAUUAAUGUAUUAAUUUGUUUAUGCAUGAAAGUAAUAAAUAAUAUAAAGUUAUCUAA